rnacentral:tRNA from 1 species
GUAUUUCGUAGCUUAAAAUUUAAAGCGCAGUACUGAAGACACUGAAAUGAGAGUACUCCAAAUACA